GAAGUUCAGUGGCAAAAUCGUAAAUAAACCCAGAUUUCUUCUUUCUCUAGCGAAUUUGACGAGCAGCACUUUUCAAACUCCGAUUUCUCCUUCGUCUAGCCACAAAUUCCAACGCCAUAACUUGCAAACACUUCGUGUCUCUCUCCUCUUUCCAUACAUAUCCAUAUCCAGCCUUGAUUCCAAGUGAAUCAACCAGAAAAUCGAGCCAAAGUUGAGCUCGAAAACGGGCAGUUUUGAAACCGGAAUUUUCAGUGGACACCGACGCCAUUUCCGGCCAAGUCCGGCCGCCACAACUCAGACAGAAAGCUUCGUUCGAGGGCUUUAAAGGUGGACUUGAUCUUCGAGCCAAGGCAUACGGGCUUAGGCGGACCCGCAUGAGGGACCUUCGAAAGGUCCAGCUAGCUCGGACCAGCAGUUGAAAUUUCGGGAAAUGAUCAAGUUACAGGGGAGAUUUUGCCGAAUUUUCGGUAGAAGUUGAACUAGUAAUAAACUUGAAUUUUAACUAGAAGGGCAAUUUAGUCAUUGUGCCUGGCACUCGCCAAGUGUUGGACACGCACAGGGUUCGGCUCGGAUUUCAAAGUGGAAUUUGGGUCGGGUCCUGUCACCUACAAUUUCUAUUUAUACUUAUCAUUUUAUAAAUCUAUGUGUAGAACCCAAUUUCAAACUUAAAUGACCAGUAGGAUAUAAGACGUCAUAGUAUUCCUAUGUUUUUAUAUCGUUGCCAUCAAACUUCAUAUUGUAUUUAUAAUUUAUUCAAAGCAUUUCAUUAACUGUCAU